UUGCCCGGGGGGGGGGGGCGCAGCUAAACCAAGGAUGAGAGGGGCGGGGCCUCCAGAGCUUCCAGAAUCUUGUGAGCCCUGAGCCUCCCUGCUUCCUCCAGGAAGGAAUGUUAACAUGCCGGAUCUCCUGAUCUCCUGAGAGGGAUCACAAGUACCCUGGUGGAAGAUGGCUCUGGUCAUGGCCAGCCUAGAAGAAACUGCAUGGCAAAGCCUAGUGUGCAUUUUAAAUUUCAAGCCACAACAAGAGCAACAGAGAGUUAUAACUUAGAACUAAACAUCUUGCUUCGUCUCUGUCUCCAACACUGCUCUGAAGCAGAAUUCCUUCCCAGGAUCUCAGCCUCUCUACCUCCUUCUACAGUUCAUAUUCAAGCUCAAGAUGUCACGGGAAAAACAACUGAUACCCCUGCAAUGCUUCAGGAAGGUGAGGUAAGGAUGAGGAGGAAGACUAGAGAAAGAGAAUGCCAGGAUUAACGAGGCUUAGGGAGGAGGAGCUCUUGAGGGCCCUGCCCAGGGAGCGUCACAGGAGGGGCAAGACCACAGUGCUGCUAAUUACCACCUGUUCAAGGUGCAGAAAUCUAGCAUUUUAGGUGGAAGGUCUUCAUUUGGAAGUGCUGGCUAUGAACUAAACGACCUUUUGCCCCUCUAGGAAGGACGUGCAAAAUACAUUCAAGGGUUGAAUUCAGCCAGUAGACUAAAUGUUGCAAUCUUUACUUUCUCUUUCUUACCCUGGGAACCACAGUGAGGAUUUUGAAGAAAUGAGAGCAGUGAGGCCAAUUACACCACAUGGACUGGGGGAAGGCGCCUCCUGCUUCCUCAAAUGCCUAGUGUUCGGAGUUCAAGGGUGUUCGUCUCUGCCAAGAUUAAUAAAACUCAGAAUUCUACAUGUUCCGCA
rnacentral:lncRNA from 1 species